CUGCUCUGGCAGCACAUAUACUACAACUGGAAUGAUACAGAGAAGAUGAGCAUAGACCCUGCACAGGGAUGACAUCCACAUUUGUGAAGCAUUCCAUAAUUUU